GUAUUUUCUCUUUUUUGACAAAACAGAUUGACGCUCUGUCGGCUCGUGUGCAGAGUAUUCUUGCUGUUUGGGGGAGAAGAUAUUCAUGGACGUCGAGGGCUUUGGUGUUUUUAUGUUAUGUGAUAUGACUAACUGCAAAGAUGCCUAAAAAAGAGAGGAGAAUCAAACAAACAAAGAAUGAGCUGCUUGAGGCAGCAAAAGGCAGAGGAUCCAGUUCCAGCUGGUUUAUGAAAAGCACAACGGAUGGACGGAGAGGGGAAAGUAAAUCAGAUGAUGAGAUGGAGACAGAGACUGUAGAGAAAGAGGGAAAUUAUGACUCUAGCGACAGAGAAAACACUACAAGGAACAGUAAGCCAUGAGGCAGAGGCUGUAGAGAAAGAGGGAAGUGUUGAGACUCAGGCGACAGAAACAGUGCAGGAUGAAGCAAGCUAGGAGAAGGAGACAGAAGCCAGAGAGGGGCUAUUCUCAAACCUACUUGGACUUUAACACCCAACUGACCCUGCUCACAUCCUAAAAUUCAAUAUAAAGUACGAUGAGGCCUUCAUUCAAAUGUGUGAUAAUAUUGGACCCUGCAAACCAGUCCUAUCUUUUCACAAGAAUGUAGAGGGACAUUCAUUUCAGAAGAAGUGGUAUGAAAAUAACCCAUGGCUAGAAUAUUCUCCUAGCACUGAUGCCAUGUUUUGUUUCAGUUGCCGUGUUUUUAUGAAUUAUAGACAAUACAAGAGUCACACAAACUGGAAAGCUGUACGGUUAGAUCACUGGAGGAAGGCUUUAGAAAAAAUUAAAGAGCACACUGCCUAAGAGUCUCACAUGUGUGGUAUGAUGAGGUGGAACUCAUUCAAGAAAAAAAUUCUGGAGGCAGCUUUUAAAGUAGGUGACGAUUUAAAAACCUUGCAGCUCUUGGUGUGCAGCAGCCACUGUAAGCAAUCACCCUUGGCAUCAACUGCAGCACUACAGUAGAGAUGACCUCCUGCCACAUCAGCAGGACAUCCCCAGAAAACACAUCAAAAUCAGCUGCUCCCUGAACACUGUUGAAGUACUUUGGAGCACAACCAACUCUACCCGCCCUGUUCUUAUGUUUGCUUUCAUUAUUUAAGUAUCUAUUUUUCUGUAACAUUCUAUUUUUGAUUAUAUGAAUGUUUGUCUAUUUUGGUUUUAUUUAAAAGAUUGCACAUUUAAUUUACAUUUGCAUUUGCACAUUUGCAAAUUAUUUAUUUCUUGUUUUGUGACAGUUUGUAUUCAGAAGUUUAAGAGUAAAGUCUUUUAUUUAAGUAUCGUAUUGAGUAUUUUUAUGUAUUUAUUUUGUAUUAAUACAUAACCUCACUGUAUUAAUUUAUAAUGUAACAUAAUAGCGUGAGAUUUGUGUCAAUAAUCUUCAAGCACAGGUGACUUCGCGUGCUGGGAGGGGGGCCCCCAAAUCAAAUUCUGCUUUGGGCCUCCAAGAGGCUCGGGCCGGCACUGCUUAUGCUUGUACAAAAAAUAACACAUAUUACUAACUACUGUUACUGACUUGGCUUCCAUAUCGUCUACUGGAGUAAAACUUCUUCGUGUAAAGCGAUGGUUUCUUACCUUAAAACAUUCAAAUACCAUAUAUGAAUUAAUUAAACAAUAAAACGAACAAAUACUUUCCGAAAUCUCCAACAAAAUAAACAUUAAACACUAACAAGUCUAGCAAUUUAUUUCAUUUACUUCUGCUUGUACAAAAUAACACGUAUUACUAACUCUUCAAAUUGCAACUGUUGCAGGAACCAGGGUUGUAGCCACCAAUGAGGUUUCUGAUGUCGUUAUUUUUCGUGCUAAUAAAACGUGAAAUAAUUGUCAAGUUGGGCUAACAAUAUUGUACAAAAUGCAAAAAGUUUCUGUGAUUGGAUUCUACUAUACUUACUCUCUGUGCCUCGCUUGUUACAGUGUGUGUCUUUCAGUCUUGAUUGAUGGCGUGGUGAUGCCCCUCCCUCCUUGUUACCCAUUCAUUACCUUAAUAGUUUGUGCCCCAGUUUCACAUUCUCAUUUAGUUUUCCUUCUCAUUCCCUGUUUCUCUUGUCUUGUGUCAAAUCGUUAAGUUUUUUUCU